UACGGAAGGUUCGGGCGUUAUCCGGAUUUAUUGGGUUUAAAGGGAGCGUAGGCCGUUUUUUAAGCGUGUUGUGAAAAGUCAUGGCUCAACCAUGGCCUUGCAGCGCGAACUGGGAGACUUGAGGAUGCGGAAAGCAGGUGGAAUUUGUGGUGUAGCGGUGAAAUGCUUAGAUAUCACGAAGAACUCCGAUUGCGAAGGCAGCUUGCUGUAGCAGUUCUGACGCUGAUGCUCGAAGGUGCGGGUAUCGAACAGG
rnacentral:rRNA from 1 species